rnacentral:rRNA from 1 species
GAUGAACGCUAGCUACAGGCUUAACACAUGCAAGUCGAGGGGAAACGACAUCGCAAGCUUGCUUUUGAUGGGCGUCGACCGGCGCACGGGUGAGUAACGCGUAUCCAACCUGCCCAUCACUUGGGAAUAACCUUGCGAAAGUAAGACUAAUACCCAAUGAUAUCCCACGAAGGCAUCGGAAUGGGAUUAAAGAUUUAUCGGUGAUGGAUGGGGAUGCGUCUGAUUAGCUUGUUGGCGGGGUAACGGCCCACCAAGGCAACGAUCAGUAGGGGUUCUGAGAGGAAGGUCCCCCACAUUGGAACUGAGACACGGUCCAAACUCCUACGGGAGGCAGCAGUGAGGAAUAUUGGUCAAUGGGCGAGAGCCUGAACCAGCCAAGUAGCGUGCAGGAAGACGGCCCUAUGGGUGGUAAACUGCUUUUAGAAGGGAAUAAAGUGGGUCACGUGUGACUUUUUGCAUGUACCUUAUGAAUAAGGACCGGCUAAUUCCGUG